CUCACACAAAGAACAAAACAAAAAAACAAACACACAAGUCCCAGAUGAUGAGCAGCCAGCUACACUGCUACACAAGUCCUGACUAUAUUGUAACUCAUUUUAAAGCCUCAACAGAAAGCAGAUCUAUAAUUUCAACAAGAGUAUGACCAGAAGGAGCAUGAACAUGGAAUUCAAUGUAUUGAACACCAGAGCAAGAAAGAAAGAAAACAGCUGUGGGAAAUGAAUGAAUCACAGAGACCUGCAAAACGAGGACAAGCACAUUGUGACUGAAAUACAAACGGAGCGCAGAAGAUUUCUUAAAAUCAAUGAGAAGACUAACACAAGACUAAGACAAGGUUAAAAAUAAAGGAUCAUUUCAGAACUCAGAAAGUGAUGUACAAAGUUGGUUAGAAAGACCAGAUAUUUCACCAAUAUUGGACUAAACCACACACACAACCCCCCCCCCCCCUCAAAAAAAAAACAAAACUCUAAAGAAUACUAAUACAUGUACAUCUGCACUCUUAAUAUCUUGUAAUUUCCAGAAUUUUCUAGAAUUUCUUUUGUGACAUUUUUUUCUGAAAGACCUAAACAAGUAGUGCUGCCCUUGUAAUGGGACCUUCGUGGAAAUAAAGUGAAAUAAAACA